rnacentral:rRNA from 1 species
AUACGGAGGAUGCGAGCGUUAUCCGGAUUUAUUGGGUUUAAAGGGUGCGUAGGCGGACGAUUAAGUCAGCUGUGAAAUGCCCGCGCUUAACGCGGGAAGUGCAGUUGAUACUGGUUGUCUGGAGUGCCGUUGCCGUGGGGGGAAUGUGUAGUGUAGCGGUGAAAUGCAUAGAUAUUACACAGAACGCCGAUUGUGAAGACACCUCACGAAGCGGUAACUGACGCUGAGGCACGAAAGCGUGGGGAUCGAACAGGAUUAGAUACCCUGGGAGUCCACGCAGUAAACGAUGAUUACUAGCUGUUUGCGAUAUACAGUAAGUGGCACAGCGAAAGCGUUAAGUAAUCCACCUGGGGAGUACGCCGGCAACGGUGAAACUCAAAUGAAUUGACGGGG